UACGAAGGGAGCUAGCGUUGUCCGGAAUCACUGGGCGUAAAGCGCACGUAGGCGGAUUUGCCAGUCAGGGGUGAAAUCCUGGGGCUCAACCUCAGAACUGCCUCCGAUACUGGCAGUCUCGAGUGCGGGAGAGGUGAGUGGAAUUCCCAGUGUAGAGGUGAAAUUCGUAGAUAUUGGGAAGAACACCAGUGGCGAAGGCGGCUCACUGGCCCGUAACUGACGCUGAGGUGCGAAAGCGUGGGGAGCAAACAGG
rnacentral:rRNA from 1 species